UACGGAGGGGGCUAGCGUUGUUCGGAAUUACUGGGCGUAAAGCGCACGUAGGCGGCUUUGUAAGUUAGAGGUGAAAGCCCGGGGCUCAACUCCGGAAUUGCCUUUAAGACUGCAUCGCUAGAAUUGUGGAGGGGUAAGUGGAAUUCCGAGUGUAGAGGUGAAAUUCGUAGAUAUUAGGAAGAACACCGGUGGCGAAGGCGGCCCACUGGUCCGGUACUGACGCUGAGGUGCGAAAGCGUGGGGAGCAAACAGG
rnacentral:rRNA from 1 species